AACAAAUUUCAUUUUCCCUAAAUUCAAAUCCUAAAUUAAUUUCAUUUUCACUCAAAUUCGAACCCUCAAGUUUUUCCCAGAUUUCCUUUCAAUUUUUAGAACCCUAGCCACCACAUUCCCCAAUCUCAGGUGAAACGCAAUUGCCACUACAACUGCACCAAGUCGACCUCUACACCAGCUCUAUUGGGUAUUCAUCUAUCAGGUCUAUGGAAUUUCGACCGCCUUGAUUGUGUUGACCACUCUGGUUUCCUCCGUCUCCUUCUCUACUCUUCCAUCAACAACCUCCUAAGGAGUAAUUCUGGCCUUCUCCCUUUCCUCUCAUUGCUCCCUUUCAUCCUGCUUAAUUUGGCUGUGUAAUGAUUAUGAUGAUGCAAUUUCAUAUGAGAGUGCUACUCAAAGGUGUUUGGAGAAGAAUACCUUGCUAAAUGCAACCUUCCCAAGUGCAUUUGUUGUGAGUGUUUUCAUAAAAGAGCUGGAGGAGUGAACAUAUGGCAGUAAUCGAAAAUCAGAAUUGGUGGGUGCUGGAUAUCGAUCGAAUCUAGUCAUGGAACUUGUUUUGUAAACGUUGUUGAUGAGUCUUUCUCAGUUUGCUGGAUGGGAAGCUUGGGCAGUUUCUACUGCAGCUGCAGAAUUUGAGAAGUUGCAAUCUUUCUCCAGUUUGUGUAGAAUUUGAAAAAAAAUCAGAAUUUGUGCAGUCUUUCUCCACUUUGUGAACUUGAGAAGCUACAGAAAAGUUGUUGUUUAGGACGAAGCUUGUUAAAUUGGACUUAUUGUUUAGGAUGUUAGGAUGGAACAUGCUGUUUAGGAUGAAACUGGAGAAAAAAUCAAUUGUGGUGAUAUCUUUCAUGAACUUUUAUUUUCUUUCAUGUGGAUAAAUAUGGUUUUCAUGUAUUUGCAUAUGAUCAGUAAUACAAUUCACAUUUGUUUUUUCUA